CCUACGGGAGGCAGCAGUGGGGAAUAUUGCACAAUGGGGGAAACCCUGAUGCAGCGACGCCGCGUGAGCGAUGAAGUAUUUCGGUAUGUAAAGCUCUAUCAGCAGGGAAGAAGAUGACGGUACCUGACUAAGAAGCCCCGGCUAACUACUUGCCAGCAGCCGCGGUAAUUGGUAGGGGGCAAGCGUUAUCCGGAUUUACUGGGGGUAAAGGGCGCGUAGACGGCGCUGCAAGCCAGAUGUGAAAGCCCGGGGCUCAACCCCGGGACUGCAUUUGGAACUGUGUGGCUGGAGUGUCGGAGAGGCAGGCGGAAUUCCUAGUGUAGCGGUGAAAUGCGUAGAUAUUAGGAGGAACACCAGUGGCGAAGGCGGCCUGCUGGACGAUGACUGACGUUGAGGCUCGAAAGCGUGGGGAGCAAACAGGAUUAGAUACCCUUGUAGUC
rnacentral:rRNA from 1 species